GGUUUUAAAACCCAAAACUGAAUUUUCCCUUUAGUCAGCAUUAGGGUUUUAAACCCUAAACUGAACUUUUUCCUUUCAGCCAGCAUUAGGGUUUUAAACCCUAAACUGAGCUUUUCCAUUUAGUCAGCAUUAGGGUUUUAAACCCUAAACUGAACUUUUUCCAUUCAGCCAACAUUAGGGUUUUAAACCCUAAACUGAGCUUUUCCUUUGAUCAGCAUUAGGGUUUUAAACCCUAAACUGAAUUUUUCCUUUCAGUCAGCAUUGAGGUUUUAAACCCUGAACUGAACUUUUCCAUUUAGUCAGCAUUAGGGUUUUAAACCCUAAACUGAACUCUUUCCAUUCAGCCAUCAUUAGGGUUUUAAACCCUAAACUGAGCUUUUUCCAUGCAUGUCAGCAUUAGGGUUUUAAACCCUAAACUGAACCUUUCCCUUUAGUCAGCAUUAGGGUUUUAAACCCUAAACUGAACUUUUUUCUUUUAGCCAGCAUUAGGGUCUUAAACCCUAAGCUGAGCUUUUCCAUGCAAUCAGCAUUUAGGGUUUUAAAACCCUAAACUGAACUUUUUCCUUUAGUUAGCAUUAGGGUUUUAAACUCUAAACUGAACUUUUUCCUUUCAGUCAGCAUUAAGGUUUUAAACCCUAAACUGAGUUUUUCCAUGCAAUCAGCAUUAGGGUUUUAAACCCUAAACUGAGUUUUUCCAUUUAGUCAGCAUUAGGGUUUUAAACCCUAAAUUGAACUCUUUCCUUUCAGCCAGCAUUAGGGUUUUAAACCCUAAACUGAGCUUUUCCAUUCAGCCAGCAUUAGGGUUUUAAACCCUAA
rnacentral:lncRNA from 1 species